GAUGAACGCUGGCGGCGUGCCUAAUACAUGCAAGUCGAGCGAACGGACGAGAAGCUUGCUUCUCUGAUGUUAGCGGCGGACGGGUGAGUAACACGUGGAUAACCUACCUAUAAGACUGGGAUCACUUCGGGAAACCGGAGCUAAUACCGGAUGAUAUUUUGAACCGCAUGGUUCAAAAGUGAAAGACGGUCUUGCUGUCACUUAUAGAUGGAUCCGCGCUGCAUUAGCUAGUUGGUAAGGUAACGGCUUACCAAGGCAACGAUGCAUAGCCGACCUGAGAGGGUGAUCGGCCACACUGGAACUGAGACACGGUCCAGACUCCUACGGGAGGCAGCAGUAGGGAAUCUUCCGCAAUGGGCGAAAGCCUGACGGAGCAACGCCGCGUGAGUGAUGAAGGUCUUCGGAUCGUAAAACUCUGUUAUUAGGGAAGAACAUAUGUGUAAGUAACUGUGCACAUCUUGACGGUACCUAAUCAGAAAGCCACGGCUAACUACGUG
rnacentral:rRNA from 1 species